AACUUUCAACAACGGAUCUCUUGGUUCUGGCAUCGAUGAAGAACGCAGCGAAAUGCGAUAAGUAAUGUGAAUUGCAGAAUUCAGUGAACCAUCGAAUCUUUGAACGCACAUUGCGCCCUUUGGUAUUCCGAAGGGCAUGCCUGUUCGAGCGUCAUU
rnacentral:rRNA from 2 species